CGCACGGGUGAGUAAUAUAUAGGUAACGUGCCCUAGAGAGGGGGAUAACAUUUGGAAACGAAUGCUAAUACCCCAUAUGCCUUUAAGUCUUAAGACUGCAAGGGAAAUAUUUAUAGCUCUAGGAUCGGCCUGUACGGUAUCAGUUUGUUGGUGAGGUAAUGGCUCACCAAGACUAUGACGCCUAACUGGUUUGAGAGGAUGAUCAGUCACACUGGAACUGGGACACGGUCCAG
rnacentral:rRNA from 1 species